AGGCAUGCACACUCAGAAUGUGUAAACCCACAUUCUGAGACCAGCUUUGCUCAGCUUCCCAUUCUCUGACAUUCAGGGACUAGGCUCAUUGUCCCACAAGGCACUCUUGUGCAGCACUGGCUCACAGCAGAGCCAAAGCCACCUCACAAUUCCGGUUGCAGCCAGCGCUGUAUUUCCACACAGCUGUGCUCCCUACCGCCCAUUCACCACCUGGAGCUAUUAGCACCCCAAGGAGCAGACUGGAACUGGGAAAGAUGAAAUUCGAGGGGACGAUGGCUCAGAGUUCAGCAUGGGAAUCUGCUGCUGAGACAGGCGACAGCAAUGCCUUCCAGCACCAUCAUGAGGAUUCGACUUGGGCUCCACCAAGAAACUCAGGAACAAAGAGUUCAUCUAUCUGCAGGAAGGUUCACUGUGCUCACUUUCUCCUUUUCUUUCGGCUCGAAUUUAACCAAAUCCCUCAGUGUCCAGGCUCCAUUUGUAACCUAACCUUCACCCUACCAAUAUCCACUCUGCCAUUCUGAUGAUUGGGACCAAACGGGAGUGUCAAUAUUCAAACUGUCUUCGGCCUUAGGGAAAAGAACAGCAGUUACACACCGUAAAAACUCAACAGAGGAGGAACGAUCCACACUCAGGCGGGUGGUACCAGCUCGUGGGCUGGGGUCUCAUACUGAAUACAAAGGAGAAGCUGCAAGUUGGGCAGCAGCGAUCACCUCCGCUCCCCGACUGUGGAUGAAACUGGCCGUCUCGGGCUCUGGCUACUGUGAGAUCCUCACCACAGUGGACCGUGUCUUCAGCCUGUGAGCCUUCCUUCUCAGCCAGAUAUUUUGUCGAAGGCAAAAAGUAACUAAAAAUGACGGUUUCUGACAUUCCCAGGUUCGUGUUCAGACUUGGAAGGUUGUCGACACAGGCUGCGAGUCAGUCUGGGCUCAGCCAGGCCUGAAUGCUUUGCUCACCUGAAAAGAGAGGGACGUGCAGACACUUGCUGCCAGAGACACAGCACAGUCCCUGGCACACGGAAGAACUCAGUCAAUGGUGGCCUUUCCUUCUUGUCUCAUUAACUGUGGGCUUACUAAUUUCACUCAGGUGUGCUGGUGUAAAGUGCUCUUUGCAGCACUAUUCACAGAAAUAAGAAUAAGCUGCAGGAAAUGGCACUGUAGCGCUCUAAGCAGAGCUUUAGAACGAAUGAAAACUAUCUUAACUACCAGGUCUCGAGC